UACGUAGGUGGCAAGCGUUGUCCGGAUUUAUUGGGUUUAAAGGGUGCGUAGGCGGCUUUGUAAGUCAGUGGUGAAAUACUCUAGCUUAACUAGAGGGGUGCCAUUGAUACUGCAGAGCUUGAGUACAGAUGAGGUAGGCGGAAUUGACGGUGUAGCGGUGAAAUGCAUAGAUAUCGUCAAGAACACCGAUAGCGAAGGCAGCUUACUGGGCUGUAACUGACGCUGAUGCACGAAAGUGUGGGGAGUCAAACAGG
rnacentral:rRNA from 1 species